rnacentral:rRNA from 1 species
AUUGAACGCUGGCGGCAGGCCUAACACAUGCAAGUCGAACGGUAACAGGAAGCAGCUUGCUGCUUCGCUGACGAGUGGCGGACGGGUGAGUAAUGUCUGGGAAGCUGCCUGAUGGAGGGGGAUAACUACUGGAAACGGUAGCUAAUACCGCAUAAUGUCGCAAGACCAAAGAGGGGGACCUCCGGGCCUCUUGCCAUCGGAUGUGCCCAGAUGGGAUUAGCUUGUUGGUGGGGUAACGGCUCACCAAGGCGACGAUCCCUAGCUGGUCUGAGAGGAUGACCAGCCACACUGGAACUGAGACACGGUCCAGACUCCUACGGGAGGCAGCAGUGGGGAAUAUUGCACAAUGGGCGCAAGCCUGAUGCAGCCAUGCCGCGUGUAUGAAGAAGGCCUUCGGGUUGUAAAGUACUUUCAGCGGGGAGGAAGGGAGUAAGGUUAAUACCUUUGCUAAUUGACGUUACCCGCAGAAGAAGCACCGGCUAACUCCGUG